rnacentral:lncRNA from 1 species
GCCAAGCAGAGGCUGCAGUAGCUUUUCAAGGGCAGUCCAUUUUCCAUCUGCUGGGGCUUUAUUCAUCUCAUGACUUACCUGGAACUAAAGAAGGGUAUAGAGCCUGGGAUGUCUGAACCAAUCGUUUUGAGCCUGCUUUGGAGAUAAAGGACUAUUUGAUCAUCUGGAUUUGGAAGCCAUCAAUGGGCAGGAACAACAUGGAGGAGCCAGGAUGGGCAAAAAGAACACUGUUCUCCAAAUAUCAGGCAUCUGUGUAAUGAUUGCUGAUUGCUACUUCUGAUCACAGAAGGUCCCACAAAGAGUUGGGUUCAUCCAAUGGGAGGCAUCAGCAACAGAAGACCAGAAGAAGGUACACUUACUUGACCAGAUACCUUCUUGUUAGCAGUAAAUGCACAGCAACAUUUCUCUACCAAAGAUCGCUGCAUCUUGUACAACCACAGCUCUUCAAGUUCCAAUGACUGCUUCCUCCCCUUCCCCUCAAACAGUAGUAGUGGCUUCCUGCCUAUCUUAACCUUAUCUUCACCCUGACUGAUA